AAGGGAGAUAAACAGAAUCAAAACAAAAACAAAUCGAAUAGCAGGUGAAUUGGAAGUGAAAAUAAAAUUGAGAAUAAAUUGGUGUAUUUUUUCUGGAAAUUAUCAGUAGUGAGGGCGGCAGUAGUAGAAAUAUUGUCAAUAAAUUCAGGAAUAAUAGCACGGUUACACCGAGCCGAAUAAAAAGUGGAAAUCAAUUCACUAGUAACAAUAAACUAGAGAAAUAGUAAACUACUAAAAGUUUACUGGCUAGUGUUUGAGUACGAAUUGAUCGAAUCGUUGUAGGAGGAAAAAAGGAGAAACUAUCUUUUUUGAGCUGCUGAAAUUUGCUGCUACAAAACGGUAGUGUUUCCCUACAAUCCGAACAGUCAAUGAUUGGAUAAUGUUUUUGCUCAAAAGCUUAAGUUGCAAUUGGGCUUUUGAGUAAACUCUACGAAUUCCGCAUAAAUUGGGGGCUACAAAAUUGUCGAACUAUGUUUACCUCUAUCUAGAAAUAUUAGAAAGGUAUAUUUCUCAUUUCAUAAGUACAUAAGUUACAUAAGGUCGUCAAAUAAAUCGU